AUACUUACCUGGCAAGGGGAGAUACCAUGAUCACGGAAGGUGGUUUUUUCCCAGCGGCGAAGGCUUAUCCAUUGCACUCCGGGAUGUGCUGACCCCUGCGAUUUUCCCCAAAAUUGGGAACUCGACUGCUAAUUUGUGGUAGUGGGGGACUGCGUUCCGCGCUCUCCCCUG
rnacentral:snRNA from 1 species